rnacentral:rRNA from 1 species
GGAGUCUAGCAUGUGCGCGAGUCAUUGGGACUAGCGAAACCUAAAGGCGAAAUGAAAGUGAAAGUCGGCCUCGCGCCGACCCAGGGAGGAUGGGUCGCGUCAAGACGCGUCACCCCGCACUCCCGGGGCGUCUCGUUCUCAUUGCGAGAAGAGGCGCACCAAGAGCGUACACGCUGGGACCCGAAAGAUGGUGAACUAUGCCUGGUCAGGACGAAGUCAGGGGAAACCCUGAUGGAGGUCCGAAGCGAUUCUGACGUGCAAAUCGAUCGUCGGAACUGGGUAUAGGGGCGAAAGACUAAUCGAACCAUCUAGUAGCUGGUUCCCUCCGAAGUUUCCCUCAGGAUAGCUGGCGCUCGCUUUUGCGAGUCUCAUCUGGUAAAGCGAAUGAUUAGAGGCAUUGGGGUCGAAACGGCCUCAACCUAUUCUCAAACUUUAAAUGGGUGAGAUCUCCGGCUUGCUUAAAUUGUGAAGCCGCGAGAUCGGAUCAGAGUGCCAAGUGGGCCAUUUUUGGUAAGCAGAACUGGCGCUGUGGGAUGAACCAAACGCAGAGUUAAAGCUCCAAAAUCAACGCUUAUGGGAUACCAUGAAAGGCGUUGGUAACUUAAGACAGCAGGACGGUGGCCAUGGAA